rnacentral:lncRNA from 1 species
AAAAACCAAUCCUCAGUUACCCCCUAUCACAGCUGAAGGAAACUUUGUCAUAGAUCCAUUAAGUAUACUAAAAGAAAGGCGGGAAUACAGGAGUAACAGGGUGGUGUAUCAAUACUUAAUCCAAUGGAAAGGAAACAACAUUGAAGAGGCAACUUGGGAAGAUGAAGACCUCCUUAAAUUGAAUUUUCCAAACUUUGCACUUAAUCCAUGAGGUCAUGGAAAGUUUUAAAGGAGGGGAGAUUGUUAAGUAGAGCAGUAUCUAGAAAGGGUAACAUAGUAAUUAGCAG